CAGGAAUGUAUAAAUUUAAGUAUAAAUAUUAAGCUAUGAUUAUGACAUGUUUUCUUUAUAUUGGAUUUAGUAAGAACAUUUGAGGAUGAAACAACUAGGAUUUACAAUUGAGAAAAGUUACGUAACUAAAUAAAUAUUGAUUUAUUUGAUAUAGCUAUAAUUACGAUAAUUUUGAUUUGCAACUAAUGUUAAAUUUGAAUGGUUAUUAAUUUUGUGCGGUCUCAUCAACUCAAUUUUAUCAACUUAUAAUUAUCUCUUGCCUAUUUUCUUAUUUAUUUAUACAAAUUAGUUUUUUUUUCUUCUCAUUUUACAUAUAACCUAUUUUUCACCUUAAUUCACUCAACCAUAAGCUAUUUUUGAAAUUUCAAAGAUAUCGUUUCUCCCUUUUAAUCAUUCUUCCUUUAUUAAAUUCAUUUAAAAGGUUUAAAUACAAUAGAAUAGUAGUAACCAUCCAAAAGUACUCCCAAAAUCAUGCAUAAGUUCCACAAUUUUUUUUCUCUUCUCUCAAAACUUUUCCUUAUCCGAAAUAAUUUCUAUCGGUUUCAUUGACUUUUUUUCGCUAUCAUAUUAAAGUAUGAUUGUCUUUUUUAAGACAAAUGUUAUAUUUGUGCGCUUAUAUUUUGUAAUUCAUUGGUGAAGGAGUACACACAAUCUUAAAAUUAUAAAUCUGUCACUGAGCGUAAGGUAGAAAAAAUUACAUCUACAAACAACAAAUCGAAAUCAUCCGAAGAAAAAGGUAUUCAAACUGAGUUAUUGGACCAACAAGAUGGGAAGAUUUGAGCUGCUGAAUUCUUCCUGUUCUUCCAAUUUGAAGUGAAGAUAAACCUUGAACCCAUUUGCAUCACUUCGGUUGGUGCCAGUUGGGCCAUUUUGGGCUGGACCAUUACUAUCAUUCAUUAUGUGCAACAGACAAGGGAAAAUUACGCGGUUAAAAAAUAUGUACUAUUUAAUUAUUUAUUAUAAGCAAUAGUUUGUUUUAAUUACUAUUCGUGAAUAACAUUAUACAUUAAUUAUGUGGGCUGACUUUGAUUUUAUAUAAUAAAUCAUGUUUGUAUAUGUAUAAUUCCCCAGAAUAUACAAAUACAUAAGUAUAUAUAAUUGACAAUUAUUUUACUGACAUAAAUAUACAAUUCACCGCUCUUCUAUUCUUUGUCCUUUCUCGCUCGUAUCUCUCCUCCCCCUCCCAAACUCGCUCUCCUCGCUCUCCCAAUCUCACUUGCCAUAUAUACAAGUGCAUAUGUAUGAUAUACAAUUAUCUAACCUAUAUACACAUAUAGUUCACCUCUCUCCCACUCUAUGCCCUCUUUCGCUCUCCUCUGUCCUCCCUAUCUCAA